rnacentral:rRNA from 1 species
GUGGGGAAUAUUGGACAAUGGGCGAAAGCCUGAUCCAGCCAUGCCGCGUGUGUGAAGAAGGUCUUCGGAUUGUAAAGCACUUUAAGUUGGGAGGAAGGGCAGUAAGUUAAUACCUUGCUGUUUUGACGUUACCGACAGAAUAAGCACCGGCUAACUUCGUGCCAGCAGCUGCGGUAAUACGAAGGGUGCAAGCGUUAAUCGGAAUUACUGGGCGUAAAGCGCGCGUAGGUGGUUUUGUAAGUUGGAGGUGAAAUCCCCGGGCUCAACCUGGGAACUGCCUCCAAAACUACUGAGCUAGAGUACGGUAGAGGGUAGUGGAAUUUCCUGUGUAGCGGUGAAAUGCGUAGAUAUAGGAAGGAACACCAGUGGCGAAGGCGACUACCUGGACUGAUACUGACACUGAGGUGCGAAAGCGUGGGGAGCAAACAGGAUUAGAUACCCCGGUAGUCC